GCAUUUCACGUUAAUUGUCCUGAUUGUCCUGUGGAUUAUACAACAGUAUGUUGCAGGCAAACUUUGCGGACUUGGUUUUUCAGAUUACUCCUGUUUUCAAAUAUGAAGGUUUCAAUAGUGGGUGAGUUGCAAAACACUUAAUGCCAUUAAUAUCAAUUACUAUUGAUGAUUGACUUCAUAUGUUCCCCAUCUUCAAUUUGCUGUAUUUUUUUUAAAAAAGUGCAGCCUUUUUGCCCAGAACCAAACACUUGUUAAAACCAUUCUAGACCUGGGAUCCACAGAUUUAUCCCACAUCUCAGUGCCUUUAUAGAGGAAAGGUUCCCUGACAAUGAUCUAGACCAGCAGAUCUUAAAAGUUGGGUUGGAAUACAACUCCCAAAAAUCCUCACUAUUGCCCAACCGAACUAAGGCUGCUGGGAAUUAUAGUUCAACAACUUCUGUGGAGCUUUGUUUGUGAAUCAUUACUUUGGGUUGCUAGUUUACAAACAAUUUCCUUGGGAACUGUGUUAAACUUUGGAAGAUUAUCCAUGAUUCCAACCAAGAAAUAGAAGAUAUCAUCAAGAGUCUACCAAAACAAUGCCAAAUCAAAACAACACUAACAAAAACCUACUGGCUUGAAUUAGUGAAUAUCCCUUACAAUAUAUAACCAGUAUGUAGUGGUGCCGUGAGUGUUUCUCAGCUGUACUUCUAAUUUGUGUGAAACACUGGUGAGUCUUGAUUGCCUGAAGCAUUAAUUGAUUAGAGAACUGGAGAACAGAGGUAAAUCAAUUUCUUAUAGAAUCAUUGAAUAAAAUCUGCUUGUCUCUGUAGAACCAAAGUGGCAUAACAUGAUUACUUGAGUGGGGUAGAUAUGAAGGUGAAAAUUCAGAAAUUGGGCUAGAAAAUUUAGAGAAGAGAUUGUAAGUGUCUCAACCCUGCAGACAUCUGGUAGCUACAAUCUUGCACAAAUAUAGAAUGCACAACAAUGGACAGCUAAGAGUAAAGUCCUGCUCAACAGUGCUGGCUGCUUCAAAAGGUUUUGGAGCCUUAUUCAAAUGGCAGCAUCUGUCUUAAUUUGUCUUUCUCUUCCAUGGUAUAGGUUGCUUCACCUUGCUGUGUAGCAUUAUCAGCCAAACUGCUCUUUUUUUGUGAGGUCACUGCACCCACUCACAGUACUUGUGGAGCCAUUUCAGCCCAGUUCUUGCAAAUUGAACAAUGGAUCUGGUUUUCUAGAAUUUCUUGCUAAGAUUCUUCCCACUUCCAACACAGAAAUUAAAUAAUUAAGUUAGAAGUAAUGUGCAGCUCAGAUUUCCUUUGAUUGUGAAGUAUGUUUCUGGAAUUCCAUUAUAGAUCGAGUCAUACAAGGUAUAUCUGUAGUUUGUUGUGGGGUUGAGACCUUCCCAUCCAUCUGUUUUUGCCUUCUGCUUCACAAGAGGUGAAAUAAAAAUAAAAAAUGUUGGUGGUGUUAAUGGAGCCAGAAUCUUCAUCCUUUUAAAAAGUCCCCAUGAAGUUUGGUGGGUGGGAGGAAGCUGGAGGAAAAGUUAAAUUGACUGUGCCCAAAUGUGAGAAACCUGAUCUCAACUCAAAAUAUCCCUGCAAGUUUUUUAAUUUUUUUGUCUCACAGAAAUAACCAGGGAAAAUCAUGGAAUAAGGAAUGUGAUGACAUCGCCAACUGUUAUAUAUUAUUUUUUGAAAAGGGAACAGUGUUAUGCCCCUGUGACUUUAUGAAAUUAACAGCUGUUUUCAUACUCUGUGAGGGAUUUUUGUUCUGAUCCAGUUGGUUCACAAAAAUGAUUUGCUAGUUGCCACUGCUUCCUUGGAGUACAGCUUGAAAAGGCCCCUUCUACACUGUAUCCCAGGAUCUGAUCUCAGAUUAUCUGAUUUAAACUGUAUUAUAUGAGUCUCCACAGCCAGAUAAUCUGGGAUAAUAAGGUAACCUGGGAUCAGAUCCUGGGAUAUAGGAGCAGUAUGGAAAGGGCCCAAGUUGAUAUUUUGCCUCUUUGAACCAGUACUGUAUUUUAAAAAAAUGUCUAUUUUCCCCAGAUGUUUUCACCCUUUAGGCUGGGAUGAAUUAAUUGUGCAAUUUUGUUCCUAUACUGUUUGUAAUUUGGACUUUUUCUCAGUAAUUUGGACUUCUUUGUCUUUUUUUCUACCACAAUGUAGGCUAGAUGUCAAAAGUCAGACGCCAACUGAGAGCAAAAUAUAGUUUAUUAAAGUAAUAGUCCAAAAAUAGUUCAAAGAAUUAGCAGAAACUUAAAACACUUAAACUUCAGUGUUAUUAAGUACAGUAGAGUCUCACUUAUCCAACAUAAACGGGCCGGCAGAAUGUUGGAUAAGCAAAUAUGUUGGAUAAUAAGGUGGGAUUAAGGAAAAGCCUAUUAAACAUCAAAUAGGUUAUGAUUUUACAAAUUAAGCACCAAAACAUCAUGUUAUACAACAAAUUUGACAGAAAAAGUAGUUCAAUACGCAGCAAUGCUAUGUAGUAAUUACUGUAUUUACGAAUUUAGCACCAAAAUAUCAUGCUAUAUUGAAAACAUUGACUACAAAAAUGUGUUGGAUAAUCCAGAACGUUGGAUAAGCGAGUGUUGGAUAAGUGAGACUCUACUGUAGUUAAAACAGGAGAAAUGCCAAAAACACGAACUGACAUAUAAUCUGGAUAACCAGAGAUAAAAUCUGGACUAAACAUAAAAUACUUGAACUCAGCCCAAAAACACAAAACGGGCUUGAAAUGGUGAAACAAACAAAAGCAAACAGCUAUGAAGCCCCCAAAACCUUCCCAAAAUUCAGGAGUACGAAAGUAGCUUUAAACCAAAACAAACACCCAAACCAGGCUGGAGAACUCUCCGUUGAGAGCAGCAAAGCAAGUGGAACAGAAAGACGCUGGCGAGCCCGCAGCAAACCGCUGCUAGAGCGAAGGCCAAGCCAGGAGUUAAAGGAGCAGAGCAGGAAAGCGUCGUCAAGCCGGUCCGAAGUCGGGAUAAGCAAGCAGCGUCAAACCGCUGCAGGAGCAAAAGCCAAGCCAGGAAUUGAAGGAGCAGAGCAGGAAAAUGUCGUCAAGCUGGUCCAAAGUCGGAAUAAGCAGCCAGCGUCAGGGUCACGAGCGAAGCCAGUAGUCAGCAACAGAAAGCAGCCACGGAAUUGAGAACGACGCCACAACACAUUUUGGGAGCGAAGAGCAAAGCCGAGUCGAAUUCCAGUCCAAGGUCCAAGGAGUUGUAGUCAUCAAAAGAAGGUCCACGUCACAGAAUGGCACAGAAAGCCAAAACAACGAAGGCGAACAGCAGCUAAUGCAAAAUAGUAAUAACAAUGCAGUCCAGGGAAACCCACACAAUUCCAGCCCUCCGUUGCAGAAUAACCCGGAUCAAACUUAAAUCUGUUGCAAAGUCCCAAGCCAGUCUUCAGAAUCACGUACAGGAAACCCAAUGGCGCCCAGCAAGAUCUUGCCACACGCAAAGCAUAGUGGCCAAACAUCCCCAAUUUAUUUAGGUUUCCUUGGGUCUCCAAACAGCCAAUGCCCUUGGAUCAGGCGUCCCAAACUCUUCAUCAGAGUCAAUAUCAUUCUGCCCACACCCAACUCUGUCCGCACCUGUGGAACCACCCUCAUUCCUCCAGGCAGACCAUGUGGGAUCUGCUUCUGAAGAUACCCAAGCCUCUCCAGCAUCAACAGCAUCUAUGGAUCCAGAUUCCUCCCCAAGCCCUUCCGGAGCCCGUGCCCAAUCUAUGCCAGCUUCCUCCGUCACCACUGGUUCCUCAGCAUCCAUUUUCACCUUAACACCCUCUCCCAAAUCCUCACAUAAAUCUUCUUCAGAAGAUUCCUCAUCAAUCUCCCUGAUUCUCUUUCUAUAUAAAUCUUCCAAAGAGCCUUCCUCACGAGGAUUCUUCCUUCCUCUCCUGAUCUCACCAUUAUUACUCAUAACCUCAGAAGACUCAUUCACAACACUAGAAUAACAAUGAUGAUGUGUAGUAGGGCUGCCAUAGGGUUUUUUUGUUUUUGCAGAAAAUCAGAGGGCGCAAUCUCCACCUCUCUCUAUUUUUUUUUUUAAAAAAACUUCUCGACAUAAGGACCAUAGGGAUAUUUUAAGUGACAAAACAUAUGCCUUUCAACAGAGGGCUUGAGACCUUGGGAACAUUAACUAGCUUAGAAUCCAAAUGUGCCUUUCACACUUUAUCCAUCCCUAUUUUGGGCUCCGCUAACAUACACUUGAGGUAUGUUUUGGGGUCUUAUUUAGACCAGGCCUGCACAAGUACUCCACCCAGCAAAACUAACCCCCAUGCCAUUAUACAGUUUCAUUCGUGGGUGAUUCAUGGCUGCAGAGAUAAAGCAAUUUUAAAUGAGAUUUAUCUUUUUUGAAACACCCUGAAUAUAUGGCAAUUCACUAGAGCUCAGUAGACAUACUCUUUGUGUGACUGCCUGAUGUUGUGAAAAAUGGGGGUGAUUGUCAAACCAGCAAACUCCAUACAUCUGACUUUUUUGACUUGGUUGGAGACAAGUUAUACUUGUUUGCUUUAGGUCAGUGGUUCUCAACCUGUGGGUCCCCAGAUGUUUUGGCCCUCAACUCCCAGAAAUCAUAACAGCUGGUAAACUGGCUGGGAUUUCUGGGAGUUGUAGGCCAAAACACCUGGGGACCCACAGGUUGAGAACCACUGCUUUAGAUUCUCUUCCACCAUUUAAUCAUGACCCAGCCUUGUAAAGCAUAGGCUGUUAACUGAAUAAAAUACAAUGGAUAAAGAUUGCAUAAACAUUGACACCUGGAUUCGUAAUAAUGAAAAAAGGGCCAGCAUGGUGUAAUAGCUUGAAUGCUGGAUUAGAACUUUCCCUGAAAUGCAGAGAUGAAUCAGGGUACAACUCAGCAGCAGUGAAUUGCCUGAGAAUGCCAUAUUUCAAAAUCCACUGACUCUUCCACCUGCAUCAUGUCUUGAGACAUGAUGGGAACAUAUCGGCCUAAAUCCAGUGACUAAUCACAUGUAGAUUAUUGGAUGUAUAUAAUUGAGGAGUCACUAUUAAGCAAUUGAUUUAUUAAGCCUGUUCUAGUUGGAAUUAGCAGUUAGAUUUAGGAGCAAAGACAGUUAAGAUCAAAACAUUUUUGAUGUGCUAUUUUUCCUUUUCCCUCCCAUCCCAAAAUAAAGAGUACUUUCCCCAUUCCAACCAGGCUUCCUCUGUACAUCUUCAUUGAAGCUUUGUAUUAAUAAUGUAUUCAUGGAGUAUCUGUGAUCACCUUUUUAAAAACACAUUUUACAUUUUAUUUCAUACCCUGCAACAAAUGAAAUCCUAGUAUUCUUGCCAGGCAAGUGUUUUUUUAAAAGAAAAUUCCUCUUUUGUUAGAUAAAAGCCAUGAAUAAUCUUGUUUAUAUAUUAAACUUCCAUUUUAUUGUAUUUAUUCUUUACUUUCUCCUUUGUUAAUACUCUUCAGUAUUAUCACAUUAUUUGUGUUUUUAAGUCUUCAAAGUACCUAUUGUAAACAAUUGUGCUUUUGUCCUUCCUGCUAGGAAAGGGUGAAAGACUGAUACUCCUUUUAAGCAUUAUUGGCAGUUUUGCUUCCUCCUUUGUGGAAAUGAUUGCCCACAUAAGUUAUCUUUCAGACCUCUGUCUCAACUGGUUUUCAUCGUCUUUAUUUCUUGUGUGAAGUUGUUAAGAAGUGAUUUUGAAAUACCUGUUUUCCCGUUUGUGGCACUUCGCACCUUGUUACUACAAUGGAAGAUGGUUAUUGCACAUAUCUUGGGACUGAGCAGUUUGAAGGUACUCUAUGAGGAAUUUUUAGAUCAAUGGCAGCAUUCUGUUCCAUUAAUACAGAACCUGAAUUAAACAUACUGUUGUCCCACUCCUGGUUUUAUAUCAGGUAUCAUGAUUAUCUUAUGAAAAUGUGUGGACUGUCUUUGGGACCUGUAUGUAAACUCACAGGAUGUGCCAAUGUGGCACACAGUGGUCAUAAUCUCAUCCGGUGUGUGCCUAAUCGAAGGCAUCCAGGCACCUUAUAAAGAACAAGACAGACUGGGAAUGACUGUGCUAGAACUUGUCUCACAGGCUAUUUCUGAACCAGACCUGGAACCCAACAGAAACAGAUGGUUUCUUAAUAAUGGGUUUGUGAUGUAUAUUUAUAGCCCACCUUUCUUUUAGGGAGCUCAGGAUCAUGAAAUGGAUGUCUUCCUUCCCAUUUUAUCCUCACAACAACCCUGUGCAGUAGAUCAGUUCAAGAAAGAGGGACUGGUGCAAGAGAGCUCCAUCACUGUGGACUAGAAACUUGACUCCUGAGUCCAGCACUCUAAACCACACACUAUAUUAGGGUUUAAGUGUGGCUUUUCACUACAGGGAGCUACACAUCCCUGGUUCUCCACUGUUUCCCAGUUUUAUUUUUGAACUCAAUCCUCAAAGAGAGCACUGAAAUCAAGAAUGAAUCUUUAUCAGAAGAUUUGAUGCUGGUCUAAAGUCUCAGCACUAAAAUUUCUCACAGCAAUACUACUUCUUUUGUUGUUCAAAAAAAUCCUUUUGUGUAUUUGGGAUGUUAUAAGGUUCCAGUCUUGAGCCUCAUUACUGCCACAUACAAGUAAUUUUCCCUGUUGCCUUGAAAAUCAGGCAUGUGUCUAUAUAAACAGAGUCUCAGACACUGUUUCAGUAUAUGGUGUUGAACAAGAUGGCUUUUAAAGAUCUUUUUAAAUAUCUCUGCCCUUAUUUUUAACAUCAGUAACUAGUAAUGUGUGAAAGUUAGUGUUGAAAGAAAACAUGUCAAACCAACGAAGACUUCGCAUAUCUGUCUCUUACCUCCAUAUUGAUUGAUUACAGUGGUAACAGUCUGAUACAUAGGCAAAUCUAAUUUUGUUACAACAGCUCAACGUUAAAUGAGAGUGUUUUUAUUGGUAAACGUUUAGCUUCACGUAUGGCUUGGCUCACAAGUGCAUAGAUUAAAUAGUUGUCAGUUAUAAUACAAAGUUUCAUAUUGAAAUCCACAACUAUGUAGUGAACAUGACAAAGGGACCAGACAGGAUACUAGGUCCUUCUGUGGAAGGUACAUUACUUUUUCCUUUAAAUUCAGAUAGAAACUACAGAAAGGGAGGCAUCAGUAUUUGGAUACCUUAUGUGCAAAAGGAACUUUAUAAUUUCCUUCCCUAACAAAACCCACCAGCAGAACUUUCCAAUUUUGAAGCUACCAGCAGUUGUGGAAAAGCAAAACAAGUUUUGAUGCUGAUCUAUCCAUUUAGCAGAUGGAUAGAUAAAGCUACUAGAGACAGAGGUGGACAAGAUACAAUUUUCUAGAUGUUGUCAGAUUGGAAUUUCUGUCAGCCAGCAUAACCGAUUCUGAGAAAUGUUAGGAGUUGAAAUCUGACACCAUCUUGAGAGUUUGUGUUCACCCCUGCACUAGAAUAAAGUUCUCCCAGAGCUAACUGGAGCAGUUAACUGGUUUUGUUUGAGCCGCAUAACUUGAUUUGAGCAUAUUAACAGAAUACACAUUGAGGCCGAAAUGUGAUGUCACCGAUCGUACUACUAAAAACAGCUAAACGUGCAUGAACUGUCGCUGCCCCCAGUUCCUUCAAGGUCAAGCCAGUCACUUCAAGGAACCAUCCAUCCAUCUUGCCCUUGGUAGUCCUCUCUUCCUUUUUCCUUACAUUUUCCCCAGCAUCAUGAUCUUUUCCAGGCUUUCCUGUCUUCUCAUUAUAGUGGCCAAAGUACUUCAUCUUUGCCUCUAAUAUCCUUCCCUCCAGUGAGCAGCUGGGCAUUAUUUCCUGGAGUAUGGACUGGUUGGAUCUUCUUGCGGUCCAAGACACUCUCAGAAUUUUUCUCCAACACCACAGUUCAAAAGCAUCUAUCUUCCUUCGCUCAACCUUCCUUAUGGUCCAGCUCUCGCAUCCAUAGGUUACUAUGGGGAAUACCAUUGCUUUGACUAUGCGGACCUUUGUUGCCAGUGUGAUGUCUCUGCUCUUCACUAUUUUAUUGAGGUUGGCCAUUGCUGUCCUCCUAAGAAGUAAACAUCUUCUGAUUUCCUGGCUGCAGUCUGCAUCUUCAGUGAUCUUCGCUCCUAGAAAUAUGAAGUCUGUCACUUCCUCCACAUUUUCUUCCUCUAUUUGCCCGUUAUCAAUUAGUCAAUUCAUUACUGUUUCAUUAAACAUGAGGUACAUUUUCCUGCUAUUUCUGUAAACCUACUUCUUGAAACCUGUGUUGGGGAAACAUAAUCAUCUUGGAAGAAUUAGAUAAACCUGGAAAUAUCUCAUAAUCAUAAAUAGCAAGUGUUUUCUCCCUGUGGUCAACAGCUUUCCACUGCAAAACUCUGAAACCACUUGACCAAUUUGCACGGUGUCAUUCAUAAGCAGGUUAAUUCAACAGCAGCAAAGUUCCACUUCUGUGAAAUUUCAGUACCAUCUCCUCUUAUUUCUUUUUAUUGGUUCAUUAAUUUCCUAUCUAUAGAUGCCCAAGUUAGUUAACCGUAUAAAAUGGAAAAAUUACAGUAAAUAUAGGUUAGUCAAGCGGCAGAAUAAGUUAGACCAAGACAAUUUUCUUUUUUUAAAAAAGUUUUCUGAGACAAAAAUUUGAACUAGUAUGAAAAUGAAUUGAAGAUGGUACCAAGUUGAGCUCUUAUUGCAGAGGAGUUUAUACAUUUGUUACAACCAUGAAAGCCAGUCCUACUAUGAAGAUGAAUGUAGCACAGAUUCUGCAUUCAUGCAUUCAACCACCCACAGCUUGAACAUUUUAAAAAUAAAUAAAUCCAGAACACAAACUUUAAUUUUGCCAAUUUACAUAAGGUACACUAUUUUACUGCAUCAUUGUAUACAAUGGGACAAAUAUCUACAGAUUUUGGCACCCACUGGAGGGAAGCUAGAACUAAACCCUAGCUGCUUGCAGAUAGGGCCAAACAUAUAUAAAAGGCUCGCUAUACUUGCCCUUCCUACCAUCUUAGGAAGCAGCUGAUGCUUCUCUUCCCCAGUACUCUAGAAAGGGAAAGUGCAUGAAGAGUUUUAUCUUUCCUCAGUUGAGACUUCUCUUUCUUUUUGACUGCAGACAGUCUCUUCUUGCAUCCCUCCUUGACAAUGUCCAUAGUUUCAGUUCAAAGUUCUUCUGACUCCCGUUGUAUUAGGCAUAAUAGAAUAAAUCUAUUUUUGUAUUACUUUUAAAUUCUAUAGGGAUGAUCUUUGGAUUGGAUCAGACUUUGGCACAAUGACUGGUUUAGUAUUCCUCUUUACCUUGACUCUAAUUUUUUAUACUAACAGUUCAUGUUCUUUCCUUAAUCUGCUCCCUGUGUUGUUUUAAAGAGAAAAUAGAGCUUCUCCAUUUGCUGCUCCCGAUUGUGUUGUUUUUCUGAUUUCUAUAUUAGCCAUCAGGUGAUGGCCAUGCAAGUAGUCAAUCUCUUGGGUUGCUUGAAGGAUGUGUUUGUGUUAACAAACCAUUUACCUUGCAAAAUCCAGUCAAACUUCAUUGCUUGAUCUUAGGCCAGAUUUUCAUACAGUUUUUGAUACUGUUGUUUCCUACUUUUUCUUUCCUAUCACUUGGGAUUAAUUGUGUGUCAUCCAUUUUAUGUGUGAUCAGUUUUCUUAACUAGAGCUUGGUUUCAGAAGUUAGUUAACUGUGGCACUGGUUAAUGCUGCAGUUAACAGUUAAGUUGUACAAACUUUCCACUCUAGAAGAGAGUGAAUUGGGAUUCUGGGCAUGUGGUAGAUUGGUGGUGUCACCCAAUCCUUCACAAUAAUCUAGUAUUUAUGAUAGAGGAAGGCAACAUCUGGGAUGAGGGAAUCACAUUACUGUAUAUCCUCUAGAACUGCCCAAGUGCCACUCUCUAUUUUACUUUACUGUUGCUGUGCUAUCUUUUUCCGGAAAUUUAGAAAUCAGUGCCAAAGUGUCUGCAGCUGCUUUGGCUCCCCACAAGUCAUCCGGGUAGUAGAGCCCUGCCAGAAUUCAAAGCAGAAAGUCUAUACUCGUUUUUAAAUCUUUAGAUGGGGAACCAUUGGGAGAAAGGUAUCAUGAUCUUUGCAGCACUAGUAAAGAGGAGGCAGUGGGGUAAAUGUGGCCUGAAUAGCCCACUCGCAUCUCACACGUAUAGAAUUAGAAUAUAGCUAAAAGAGAGUAUUUGAGCAAAAAGUGGCCAAUCUGGAAUAUGCUUUGAAUAUUUGUGUUGAAAGAUUCUUGGUGAUGCAGGGGGUUGCCAAUGCUUGCCUUUAGAUGUCCUUGUGCUUUAAGAGUAGUCACCCAAGGCACAGAGAUAAUACAAUUUGCAUGCUCCUUACUUUGCAUUGUUAGAGGCAAAAAGCUCUCUCUGCAGGACAGGGGUUAACAUGUUAACAUGUGGGUCAAAAAUAAAUUUCCAGACAGCUUUACAGGCCUCUUGUUGUUUGUGAGCUGAUCUGGAAGCAGUUGGCAAGUGUAAACCAGUUAAAGUGUUGAAAAGGAUUUGCUGAUGUUUUUUCUGGAAUGUUUUACGGAAGGCAGAAAUCUGAAGGAACAGAGAGGCAAGUGUUACAUUUUUUGUGGCCCAAUAGUUCAUGAUCUCUGAAAAGUGAAUGGAGGUAAUCACAGAUGCAGAAUGCCAAAGUGAGUCUACUGUAAAUUACUUUACUACUAUUAAAAAUCUAGUGAACCAUAUGAACAGUAGAAACCAUAUUGUGAACAACGUGAACCAUAUUAUAACUUGAGAAAUAAGAAACAUAUAGAAAAACGUUUCAAAUACGGAUACCAAAAAGUGAACACGAACAUACACAUUUAAUAAUUACAAUAUUCAAACAAGUCAUUCUUUUAAAUAUGGAGGUCAUUGUAAAAUAGCUUAUGUGACUUUUUAUUAAGAAAUAUUGUUUCAAGUACCAGCUCUUAUUAGUAGAUAGUUAUAGGAUGUGCAAUCUAUCAUGAUUCAGUGAUAAUUGUUACACAGAUCUUGCUUCAUCUUCUGAAUGUUGGGGGGGGGGGAUGCAUCAUAGAUAACACUACCUGAUCUCAAGCUGUGUGUCUAUCAAAUAAACUUUUCAAAGAUAAAGGAGUUUCUACUAUGUUUGGGUCAAUUAGAUGUGCAAUUUCAUUUUUCUAUAUUAACUUUUAAUCAGGAUCAGCAUCAUCCUGUUCUUUUAGUGAAACUCUCACAAUUAAUUUUAAUUUCUAGCAGGCAUAAUGUCUUUUUAUUAUAUAGGGGUGGAAAGAAUAUUCUCUGUUAUUUUUUUGAGGCUAAAAAUGGUUUCCCAAUAAUCCUUUCAGGAAGAAUAACAGAGCAGUGAGACUGUUCUGCAUUUUCUCCAGUCUUGGAGUGUUUUGGAGGAAUUUUGACAUCUUUCUUUCUUUUUGCAGAAAGAAAGGAAACAGUGUUUGUGUAGGGAGUGUUUGUUUUCUGUGCAGGAAAUUUGCUUUUGCUCAAGAAAAAUAUUCACCCAAACAUUUCACAUUUCUCUGUACAAAAAUUAUUUUCAGCACACUCGGUGAUGCUCAAAUAAGAAGAGUGAGUAUACUCUGAGAAAUAUUCAUUUUUCUCCUGCAGUGGUGAGAAAACCCACAGCAAUAAUAAAUACUUUUUAUCCUACAGCAGAAUAUCUGGGAUAUGAACUUGUACAGAAAAGGGGAAAUACUAAUGCCCUUUUGGGGUCAGUAAACUCCCCAAAUGAUCAUAUGAGCUCUUUAAAAAUGUUCUGUCAGGUUUCCUCCAUCUCUUAGUUGCAUUCAACUGGGAAAGGAGAGUUGUGAUAUAAACCAUUCUGUUUGGUGAUAUGCCUCACAGUAUCACUCAGCAAACUGCAACAAGAUCCUAACUGCAUUGCAGAACAUUCCCCCAGGAGAACAAGAUGACUGUGUGCACCUGUGGAUGGAAACCAAAUGCAAUUUAAUUAAAAUCCUGCAUAAAAGUAAUAAUAAAGAAGAGAGUGAUAGCAGUUUGAAGAGGCGUGGGGAUGGUUGUGAAGUCUCGGAAAUUGUAAAGAAAGGAAGGAAAGACAGACCAGAAUAGCGUUGUAGGGUGAAAUAUGUUACUGUGGCAACAAAGUAAUUUCUGCAGAUGGAAAACUGCAGUGAAGAGCCUCAGCAGUAGGGAUAGAAAGCUGAAAUGAGUGAUAAAGGAAAUAGCAGGUUAUUGCAUUCUUAAUUGUUUACCUUCUUUGGCGGUCCCACCCACCCACUCCAGGAAUGAGUGUCUGAACUCAGAGCACCCAGAUACAUGAAGUGCUUGAAUAGAGGUUUAGUUGAUGAAGACGUAAUGGCAAAAUAUAGCCAGCACGAUCCAAUAUAACAGAAAGCUAAAAACAGUCCUAAAGUCCAUUAACAUUACUAUUCAGAAGCUUGACUCCACUAGCAUUCAGCUGCCAACCCAAGGGAACAUAAUUCAGAAAGCUUAGUGGAGAGAGGACAUUUUCACAUUUGAUGGCCUAAAUACCCUUAAAGCACUAAAUCCCAUCUGAACUUGGAAGCUGAGCAAGAUCAGCCCUGAUGAAUACUUGGAUGGGACACUAAUUAAUACCAACUUCUGUAGGUUAUAGGUCAGAGCAACGAACCAGCCAAGCCAUCUCUGAGUAUUCAUUGCCUAUGGAAACCCCAUGAAAUCCCUUAAGUUGUUAUAAGUCAACAUGUGGCUCAAAAGCACCUACAAAGUCAUGCAUUAUCAUCUCAUUGAAUUAUACGAAGUUGGUCAGAUUGUAUUUUGACCUUGUUUUUUUAUGUCUAAAGCCAACAUGUUUAUUCACUGCAACAUACUAACACUUCAGCUUAGAUUCAGACUUAGUCUUACUUAUUAUUUAUAAAUAAUACUUAAUUCACAAGGGCUCCUGGGGCAAUGAACAAAUAAAACCAAUUCAAACACUAUAAAGAUUAAAAAAACACAUUGAAAAUAUUAUUUUAAAACUCAGUCUUUUACAAAAAGCCUAGAAACCAGUUUUGAAAGAGUUAAAACAAUAAUUUCACACUUUAAAUGUCAUGUGGAGCAGCACUGUUUUGGCUGCCUGCCGGAAGCUUUAAAAAAUGGGGCCAGCCUAGUCUUAGAGUAAAUCCACUGAAAUCAGCAGAGCUUUUGUUAAAAAUAAAUAAUUUCAGUCUUAGUGAUUUUUAUGGGUUUGCUCUAAGUAGAAUCAAGUCGAGAUCCAGCCCUAUGGACUGGUUACACACACAUGUAAUUGUCUCCUGCUGUUUCAGCCAUAAGCCAGAACUAGUUAAGUUGAAAAACAGUAUGCUUGAGAUGACUUUGGGUGAUAUGGAAAUCCAGAAAGUCCAAAAGCCAGUAUGUGCUUGUCUAAUCUUGAUUACUUAUUUAAUUGCCAUCACUUUUGACAUGGCCUCUGAUGGAAAUAAAAAAAAUGGAUUGACUUAAUCCUUGGUGUGGUAGUCCUGUUAAUAUUGGUCACUACUGUGUGCUAGCUUUUGGAAAGGAUGUGGGUUUUUUCCUUUGAUGAACCAGCUUCUAUCCACAGAAGUGAGAUAGGACAUUCCUCCUGAAGCCCCAUAACUUCUCUGGAGGGCUGGGGAUCCCACUGGAAGAGGAUCCAGGGAAAGGGAAGAAGGAGAACAAAGUUCCAUCUUACUAUUCAGGACUCAAUAUUAGUAUUACUUCAAUAUAAUUUAUAAUAUUUAUUUAUUCAAUUUAUAUGCCACUUUUCUCACCCCUGGGGGGGGGGGGACUCAAAGCUGUUCAUAACAUAAUCAAUGGCAAAACUCAAUUCCUCACAUGUAUAAAACAUCACAUAUCAAAUUGACAACAUAUAUUAAUAGAUUAAAACCAUUAAAACUAUAAAACUAUAACAACAAUCACAGACCCAGCAUAAAACUUUUAGACCUUGCAUCGAUCCCUGAGUAUCUUUAGCUAUGGGAUAAGGCAGCCAGCUAUAUGUGACCUGUAAAAGCUAGGGACUUUCAUGUUGGUAAAGCUGUAAAUCUACUCUGGGUUUUUGUCUGUGCUGAAACCUAUCUCCUGGUCCUUUAGACAGCUCUUUCUAAAUUCAGACUGAAACAUGGAACAUACCCAUACCCCCUUGACAUAGGAGGCAUCAGCUUCCAAUGCAAGUGUCAUGGAGGAAAUACACAUUGAGGUGUAGGUGGCAUUUCUUUGUCCUUUACUGACAAUAUAAUCAUGCCCACAGGUAUUUUUUUACCAAAAUGAAUUGGAUCAAGGCUUGUGUGCAUUGUUAUUUUAACUGAGAUGUCUCAAGAUGCAUGCUUCCAAUUUUAAAGUUAAAAAUAUGUUAUCUAAAAUUGUGCAUUUUCAUAUAUUUUCUCUCAAAAAGACAAAGUUUAAACAUUUGGAAUAUGUUUCAUGCAUUAAGGACUUGGGAAAGGCAAAAACUGGUGGAUUAACUUUGGUUCCAUUCCAAAUGGUCGCUAACUUAAAGUGAUUAUGAUCUAGAAGGUGCAGAUUGGGGAAUUCAUUCCAGAAUCUGCAGAAGCUGAAUUUCUCAAGCAAUCUUAUUUCAAAACAAAUAUGACUAAUUGAAAUCCAAUAGACUUGAGCAGGUCUAACUACUUUAAUAAAGCAGCCUUCCCAAAUCAAGUUCUCUGACUACAGUUCCUAUCAGCCCCAGCUAGUAUGGCUAGUUUUGGGAUGGUGGGAGUUUAAAUCAAGUAAUGAAUGCAUCUGAAUGAACAGGUUGAAGAAGACUAUAUUUAUUAGUGACCAUUGUCCAUAAUAUAAAGGGGGCCUUCACAUUCAGAGGAAAUACACCUCAGAAUCUCAAAUGCUGGGUACAAAUAUGAAAGAGCUAUUGCACCCAUGUUUUGCUUAUCAGGUUUGCAGAAGCAUCUUUCUAGCCAGUGCUAGAAAUAUAACACAGCCCAACAAAAUAAAUCUUGUUAUCUUGGUUUUUAAGCUUGUUCCUGGGAUUAUUUGGAGCACUGAUUCAGAAAAGCUCUAUUUUCUUAGAUAUGGCUAUUAUGGUUUUCUGUGGGUGAACAGAUGGCACCUGGUAGAUGGUCCCAAGAACUAGAUCUGAACAGAGAAAAUGUGUGCCAUUUUUGGAAUCAGCAGGUCAGAUAUACCCAGAAACAGGGCUAACGUCUGAGGCACCAAAUGUGUGUUGGCCAGUGUAAUUUAUGACUAAAUUUGCUGUGAUCUGGUUCAGUAAGAUCCUCUCACGACAUUGAACAAAAUAUAUCAUAACAUCGGUUGCUACUGCUAUGUUUGCCUUCCAUACACACACACUUGGAUCAGUGUUGUUUCGGGUGAAAAUUGGGAAGAGAAUACUACAAUUCCAAAUACUCUAAUUUUGGCUAUGGAGCUUUCUCGACUCUAGAUUUUAUAUGUUACUUCCCAUGGAACUGAUAAUGAGCAGCUGCAUAUUAUAUUACCUAUUCCAGAGGACAGCUUUCAAGCUCAUCUUCAAACUUCUUAUUCAUCCCACAAAGAUCCCACAUAUGAUCCUUUCGCCUACACUGGGUCAUCAGUCUCCAGUUGGGCUAUGGACUUAAGGAGUAAGAAACAUAAAAGCAGGUUGUUAUACUGAAAGCAGAUUUACAGAUCAGAUCAAGUGGAACCACUGUAAAAGAUAAAAUGCAGUCCCUUCAAGGGGAAAGGUGAUGUGAAAUGUGCCUCUUAAUUGUAACCCAUGGCACUUGCUCCUGUGUAGCGCUUGGGGAAAAGGGUGCCCUCUUCACAGGGACUGUGUUCAACUGUUAAUUACAACAAAGCAGUCUUUGAAGAUUAUGGGUAUACUCAGAGGGGCAAGCUAAUGUAAUAUUCAUCUUGACAUCUUCUUAAGCUGCAGCCCUUUCUUAUCAAUAUGAUUUAUCUUCUACUAGCAUGUAACCCACUUUGUAUAAGAAGAGCAAUAAGUGGGGGAGUAGCUGCUUUAGAUGCCAAGUCUAAACUCCCCCUUAAAAAGAAAUACAUUUUAGUUGUGCAUGUGUAUGUAUGCAUAUGAUCUAUUCACACCUCUAAAAAAACAAUUUUGAGCAAUGAGAUACAUUAAUAGUACUGUACGAACAUCAACUACUUCAUUAUGAGGCUUUUAAAUCUGAAAUAUUAUCUCAGUGGUUUUCAGUGUCAUAAAUGCUUUGUCCAGUUUCUAUUCCCAUCACAUCAUUUUAUUAAUUUUCAAGAAAAACACACACACAUGAUCAAAAUUUGGGACAUUUAACUAUAAUUAGUUUGCAGACAUUUAAUUCAAAAUGUUGUCUAGUCCUGCAUUUUCUUCCACGGUAGAACACAAAAAGAAGGUCUAAAAUGGGAUUGCAAGUUAGAUUAUCUAGAUCCAUUUCAAUCUGUCUUCAAGACAGCUUAUGAGAUAGGGAUAGCUUUGAUCGCCUUGGUGGAUUACUUGUGCAGUGAACUGGAUGGGGGGAGUGUGUCCUUGUCGGGUCUGCUGGAUCUUUAAGUGACUUUCAGUACCAUCAACUAUGGUAUCUUUCUGGACCACUUCUCUAGGAUAGGAUUGGGGCUCUGUUAUGCAAUGGUUUCAGUCUUUUUUGAAUGGAUAACCCAGGAAUGGGUGCUGGGUAACUCUUGUUGAUUUGAGACUCCUGGUAGGGUCUCUCAUGAUUCUGUUUUGUCUCCCAUUCUGUUCAACAUCUACAUGAAAUUGCUAGAUGAGAUCAUCAGAGUUUGGGAGUAUGGUGUCACCAAUAUUCUGGUGAUAUCCAACUAUCUCUCCCUGCCAUCCAAUUCCAAAGAAGCUCUCUCGGUAAUAAUAGAGUCCAUUAUUGUCAGUAAUGGAUUCUAUGAGGACAAAAAUAUUGGAAGCUAUUUCAGACAAGACAGAAGUGUUCCUAGUCAGCCGAAAGCCAGAUCAAGGAAUAGAGACUUACCCUCUGCUAGAUGAGGUUAUACAUCCCUCGGAACCUCAGACUGAGUUUUCUCUUGGAUUGAACUCUGAGCCUGGAUGUGCAGGUUUCAGCAGUGGCCAGGAGUGCAUGAAAUUAGUGUGCCAGUUAAUAAAACUUUAAUAAAACUUUAUUUAUACCCUGCCACCAUCUCCCUGCUGGGACUCGGGGCAGCUUACAUGGGGCAACGGCCCAAACAACAUAAGGACAAAAUAUAAACAACUUAGUACAAAUCACAAUAUAAAAAGAUAAAACAGUAAUAUAAUAUAUCAAUUAAAACAACAAUACAGGAUAAAAAAUUACAUUUAAAGCACAUAAAUGGUAAGACCGUGAUAAUACAGGAUAGAUUAUUAAAAACCCUCUGGGGCUGAUUAAUGGGACAGACCCUCUGGGACUGUAUCUCCAAACUUGUGCCUAUUCCUUGAGAUGCCAUAUCUGCUCAUGGUGACAGAUGCUUUGAUUACGUCCUGUUAGAACUACUGUAAUAAACUAUAUGUGGGGCUGCUUUUGGAAAGUUUUUGGUAACUUCAGUAGAUUCAAAAUGGUGCAGCGCAAAUGCUCACUGGAGUCAGUAAUAGGGAGCAUUUAACUCCCUUGUUAAAAUGGCUUUGUUUGCUACUAGUACAUUUCUGGACAUAAUUCUAAGUUAUAGUCAUGAUAUAUUAAAACACUGUGCAACUUGGGUCCAUAUUAUCUGAGGGACCGUAUUUCCCAAUACAAACCUGCCAGUGCAUUAAAAUGUUCAGGGGAAGGAUUCUCUUGGUCCUGCCGCCGCCACAGACUCAUUUGGCGGAGAUAUGAGAAAAAGCUUUCUCAACGUCUGCUCCCACUCUCUAGAAUGUCUUUCCAUAUGAGGCUAGCCUGCCUUCCUCCCUGCUUUUUGACAGCAACCAAAGUCAUUUUGUUUAAGUAAGCUUUUAAUAUAAGGAGGGAGAUCUUAUAUAGAAACCUUUUUAAUUGUUUUUAGAUUGUGUUGAUAUUUUUUAAAUUAAUGUUUUUGGAAGCAACCUUGGGCUCUACUCUGGAGAAAAAGUAGCAUAUAAAGAAAAUACAAAAUAAAUAUAGAAAUAGUAAAUAAUUCCCAACAUAUAUCCAGAUGAAACUUAAUUUCUUAACAUAACAACCCUAGAAUGUUGAUUUUAAUUCAACAUAAUGCAAGUCCUAUGCAAUUUCUUUUAAAAACCAGGGUCUCUGUGUGUGAUGUAUAGAGCUAUAUAUAUCUAUAUAUAGCUAUAAAAAUGAAUAGGUGCAAGAAAAGGGCAACCAGAAUGAUUAAGAUAUUUGAACAAUUCUUUUGUCAGGAAAGGUUACAGUAUCUGGGAAUAUUUAACUUUAAAAAUUGAAUAAGGAAUGAGGUAGAAAAGAUUGUGUAUGAUAAUAGAAGGACAUUUGUUCUCAUUUGUAGUGCUGGCACUCAGGGCAUCUGCUGCUGGGCAAUUCAAGACAGACAAAAGGAAACACCCUUUCACUUAGUUAAUCUAUGGAGCUCAUGUCAUAGCAUCUUGCCAUCUUGGGCUGCUUUAAAAAGAGAUUAGAUACAUUUUGAGUGAUUAAGGCAACCGAUGCCCAGGAGCCAUAAUUGAUAUGUAUUCUCUCCUGUAUCAGAGACAGUAUGCCUCUAUAUAUUAAGUACUGACAGAGUCAGAAUAGGUGGUGCAGUUUCACUCAUUCAUCCUAAUGUGCUCCCCAUACACAACUAGCUGGCUGUUGUGGAAACAAUGCUAGAUAAGGUGGGACUUCAGCAUGGCUAUUUUUAGCUUCUCAUAUUUUUAAUCAGUAAAGUAUUACAUUGUUUCCUCGAAAAUAAGACAUCCCCUGAAAAUAAGACCUAGUAGAGGUUUUGCUGAAUUGCUAAAUAUAAGGCCUCCCCUGAAAGUAAGACCUGGCAAAAUUUUUGUUUGGAAGCACACCUGCUGAACAGAACACCAGAGCAUGCAGGAUCGGUAAAUGUACGUACCAUAGAUAGUUUUACAUGGCAAUAAUGAUAGUAACAAGAAAUUCUUGAAAGGAUUCACAGUUUGUCUGGUUCUGCUGGUUUGUGAUGACAGCUACUGUACAGUAUAUAAUAAAUGUUCAUUUUUUAUUCAACAAUAAAUAUGAAUUCUUCAUGGAAAACUAAGUAUCCCCUGAAAAUAAGACCUAGUGCAUCUUUGGGAGCAAAAAUUAAUAUAUUUUCAGGGAAACACGGUAGUUGGGAGACUGAUUUCUCUGGACCUGUGAAGGCAGCAUUCUCAGUGGAAUGUGAGUUUUAAAAAACAUUGAAUGCUACUCUUGUUUUUCCAUCUAAAGGCAGCCAUAGUGUGACAUACUAAUUUUCCACUGUUGAUGCCCAGUUAUUAACUGCUGAAGUUUGAACAUGUCCUCACCCAUUCUAAGGGCUUGGGCCAGGCUUCCCAUGAGCCUCCAGCUCUGAUCAUUACAGUAGCUAUAUGGUUCUGUAAGCCUAUCCAUAUAUCAAAGUUGGAAAAAGAUAAAAUUUUCUGAGCAAGGAUGUUUGCAGUGAACUCAGUGGCCUGGCAUUACAUUUAGUUGUAAUCAAAGAUAUUGGGAUGUCAUCCUGUUCUAAUCUCUCAUCUCAUCCAGUCUGGUAGGUUCUGUGCUGAGGGUGAGAUGAAUGGGGUUGUUGUAUGUCUUUCGGGUUGUGUGGCCAUGUUCCAGAAGCAUUCUCUCCUGACGCUUCUGGAACAUGGCCACACAACCCGAAAGACAUACAACAACCCUGUGAUCCCGGCCAUGAAAGCCUUCGACAACACGGUGAGAUGAAUAUUUAUUUAUCAAAUAAUUAGUGAAUCAUUUUGCAGUUACGUUACCUGGGGAACCCUUGUUAGUUGGAAGAUGAAAAGAAAUGCCUCAAACAAAGAAACACAGAUAACUUUCCUUACCCCCUCCAGUGGCCACUGCCAUAUAUAAAGGGAUAGAGAACCCAAAGUAUGAUGUAUGGUGUUAUGUCAUGACAAUGUGAAGCUCCUGCACCUGUUCCACAUCACCACUGUCACUUGAAUAGGUGACAUUUUCAACAUGUUGGUGUCAUGACAUGUGGCAAAUUCCAAGACAACAUUUUUGUUGACAUCAUUGUGCCUUCUGUGCUAUGUAGUCCUCAUUUUGAUUGAAAUUAAAUUGGAACAGCUUUAGUGCAUUUAGUUUGCAAAUCUUUCCUUGCUUUUAUAAAAAAUUAUACCUCAAAAUUAUGACUGUGUGGAGACAUACAACAAGCCCACUGUCAGAGUCCUACCCAGAGAGUCUCUUGUAACAGCCAAGCACACAAAUGUCAGCCAGCCAAACAACUUUCUAGGCUCUAGAGCUGGUGAGAUGGCGUGCAUGCCCACAGAAAGGGAUCUGUGUGUCCCUACCUGGCAUGCGUGCCGUAGUUCCACCACCAUUGCUCUAUGUUAACCUUUUUCAUUAAUUUCCCCUGAGGAAGCAGUCUCAUGAUUAUCAUAAUUCUUUCAAAAUACCCCAGGAAGAUGCAUGGGAUACACAAUGGGCUUAUACAAGAGUCCCUGGGUCUUUCCCUUUUUUUUUUUUUUAAUAUGAUCUGGUUUAUUCCUGGGAACAUUUCCUUCCCUUUGUUACCAAAUCAGACCCCCUCCUGAGGUUCUUCUGUUGACAUGUCCAACACAUUGAGCACCCUUUUUGUUUACCCGAAUGGCACCUAUUAUAUUAAUAUAACCCAGUUCAUCUCAUUAUUUCCCACCCCACCUCAUUCCUUUCUGCUCACAGCCCUAUCCUGGGUGGAUCAAUAAAUGGACACGAGUCUUCAAAAUAAUCCAAUGAUAGUUUAUUAAAUUUUUCACCACAACUGGAACCAACCAGCAAUGAUGUCAGACAGAGCCCCAGACUAACCAAGGAGUGGCUCCUGCCUAGCAAUCAGAAGCCAGCAUGGUAAUCUUGAAUAGUUCUCAAAGUGUUAUCAAUAUUUCUGUAUGAUUGCAUUGAGGAAUGCCAAUUCUUUGGAGCUCAGAUUCCACUGACAUAUUCUUUUCUCUCCGAUUUUGCUUUCAACCUGUGUGUGUGUUUCAUCUGGCCUUUUGGAAGCUUGACACCCUGAGCAUUAAAUGAAUGGUUUUAGCCCGAAAUCACACAACAUUGCUACUGAUGUGGAGAUUGAUUGUAAUGUCUAUCCUUUACCAGGCAUCUAUUGGCAUUACAGUUACGGUGCUAUUAUUCAAUUUCAAAUGCCAUGGUUCCAUUCUAUGGAGUCUGGAGUUCAUAUUUCAGUAAGGCCUUGGAACCCUUUGGCUAGUUGUCCUGAAUGCUCUUCCCUAUACUGCAAAUCCCAGGAUUCCCUUGGAUGGAACCAUAGCAGUUAAAUGGACAGUGCUAUCAUUUUGUUGUAUGUAUAGGCCCAGGCUAGAAAAUGGUCAUCCUAUCACUAAUUUAUUUAAGCAAGAUGUUCUGAUAUUAAUAAUAAAUUUGAAUCAUUUGUCAUUAUUUAUAAAAUGGAUUUUUCAUUACUAUACUUUGCAUUUUUUUUAAAAAAAAAAUCCUUGGUUGCACAUUUGUACUGUGAAAACUGAACAUUUUUAAUCUUGUUUUUCCCCUUCAAUCUUCAAUGCUGUUUUUUUUUUUGCAGUAUUAAAAACUCAGUGAACUCAAAAGACUUUUGUGGUAUUAAAAUUAAGAAAAAGGGAGCUCUGAGAGGUUGGGCAAAGAGACAAGUUAUGGCAACUGAGACCAGUUUAGGUGGAAUUGCAACUAGUUUGUCCAUGUUGAGUGAAACCAUGGCGUGUACAAAUUGGGGGCAAUAUCUGACCAUGAAUGUGUGUGGUCUUUCUCUAAUUAAUGCCAAAAUCUUUAGGAGAGUCAUGCAGAAUAACCUUUCCCUAGUUAACCGUCACAGAAGAAAGGAAUGGAAGAAACCAUUAUGCUGCUGUCAAGAUUUUCCUGAAACAAAGAGGGGCAGAAUUAUGCAUGCUGAGGGGUGUCUUGGGUGCUUUGAUUAGCAGCAGAGGCCCAAUUUUGCCAUCAAAGGCAUUGUUAAUUAUAAGCCACGCUGAAAGGCUCUUGUCAGGAACGUUGCAGAGAACGAUAUUACAAGAAAGUGUCGUUUUCUGUUAAGGUGAUCCUCAGCUAUUGUUAGACUGAGAAAUCAAAAUGUGGACAUCAUUUCAAGGUAAACCCAAAAUGCUGUUGUAUUUAAUCAGGAUAAUUAGUCACUGAGAUAAAAAUAAUCCAUAUUUUAUAUUGAUUUGUUUGUGUCAGUUUUAACGUGAUCCGACAGAUUUCCCCUUUGCUGCAAAUGGUUGAAAAAUGGAGAGACUCUGAACAAGUGUUCCUCUUAACAGCUGGCGGCUGUUAACAAGAUGUCGUAAAAGUUCCUCUUUAAAUAAGAGAUCAGCCUUCAUUAUUCCAUAUCUUUGAUGAUUAAAGGGAUUUUUAUUGAAAUUACUACACCAAAAAGCACACAAAAGAAGAUGGAAAUGCUAAUUUGCAAUCUGCCUACUGACCAAGCAUCAUGUGGUAAUGAACUGUGACAGCCUGUAGUUUGCAAGUGGCCUCAGCCUCUUGGAGUAGCUAAUCUGAAGUGACAAAUAAUGUACCACUAUGUGCAUUUUAAAAAGGAUGCUCUUGUAAAAUCAUGUUUUGUUUUGCUGUUUUGUUAUUUUGCUUUUUGGAAUGGUGAUUAGAUUGUAGAAAAACAACAUGCUUUUUAUCUGCAGUAGGAGAUAUAAAAGCCAAAGAUGUAUAUGGGGAUUACUAGAUGGGACCUUUGAUCAUAUAUAUUCACCAUGUUGGUUUCUCUUCUCCAUCUGUUAACCAAAAUUUAGAAAAUCCUUUUCCAAAACAACACAACAAGCCACAGCGCAUAGUUUGAAAAGUUCACUUUCCUCUAUUUUCACACUUAUCAGGGAACAACCUGGAUUGUCAGUGUUACUAAAACUAAAAUAAAUGACUUAAACUUUGUCAAGAUUAUGUCCAGCUAAAUCCAGGCUAUAUGGAUGUAACACAAGCUGGCAAGACUUAGCCAUAUCUAAGACAAAUCAAAAGCUUGGAGAAAAAGCUAAUUAGAAGAGCAAGACAAGGGCAGGGUAAAAAAAAAAAAAAGAAGGAGGUGGUGGUGGAGGAGGAGGAAAACAGAAUCAGAGCUGGGGGAAAUUACUUUGGAGGGCCAGAAUACCCAGAACUUCCCAACCAUCAUGGGACACCUUAAGAGUAGAAGACAGUAAUAGAAGAGAACAGCAAAGACUGGCCUCAUAGGCUAGUGUUUUGUACUAUUGAUUAGAACGAGUAUCACCAAAUACUCAUUCUAAAUAGGAUGGUAUGCCAGAUGCGGGAUGUUCUACAAUUAUGAAGCAGUAGCAGGAAGUACUUUAAUAGGGGGUAUUUCCUUUAGCAGGAAGUACUUUAAUACCAUUCCGUAAAACCUUUAAAGGUUAGAUUAUGGAGGAAAAGGAGGAAGAAGGAAGAGAAGUCAUGCUUUCAGUCCACCCAACUCCUGAUGUUGCUAAGCUGAGCAGAUUAUAAUAUGACAUAGAUGCCUUUCAACCAGCCUAUCUGCUCCAUCAGUAAAGAGCUAGAAGAGAAAAGGUUGCUAUGGUCAAUUUUUCUGCUACUUAUACUAAUUGUUAAUUUUCUGAAAUUAGGUGGCAUAAAGCAGUAGAGAAACAGCUUUUUUGAUCUGUUUUCUUGAACUAGUGUAGAGGAAAUUAUCUAAAUCUUGCUAUGCUAGAUGCAUGGUAGGGAACCACUCACUCAAAGCAUCCAUCUUGACCAGUGUAAGUAGAUAAGUAUGUAAAUAUGGAGGAAGAUCAAAUCCCAUUUAGGAAUGAUCACUCUGUUAGUUGUACAGUUGGAAGUGACUGUUUUCUAUUGUUGCACUCUUACUUGAGAAUAUUGAAUAUCAGAGUCAAAAUGCAUAGGAUUUCACUGAAAAGUUUGCAAGCUGUUUACAGCUGUUGAUUUAUGUAGUGAAGUAGUUAUGAAUAAAUGUAUUAGAUGUUUUUCACCAUGCCUCUGCUCAGAUUCUUUGCUAUAAAAAUAUUACACUUCCAUAAAACAAGAUUAAAAAAAUUAAGACCCACUGUCAGGGUCCUAUGCUCUUUUAGUAUAUCAUUCAUACACACACACACACACACACACACACACACACAUAUAUAUAUAUUGAAUCCCUUGGCUGUGAGCUGAUCCAUUUCUCAAAGGUCCAGUAAUAAUGCCACCGACUCAUACUAAGUCUAAAGUAUGAGAGGGUAGGGGUCUGCAUUUGCAAAACCUCUGAGAAAGUACAGUAAUUUAGUAGCCACUUUUACACUAACCAUUUUUACAUUAGUAUAGUACCCCAAUUGUAUUCCUGGCUGUAUUAAGAACUAUGAUUAGUAAAGAAUUAGUAAUAAAGAAAUCACAGAAAGCUACUUCUUGCAGAUUUGUAGUUCUUAGUGUUGCAUUCUGAAUCAGAUGUUGGAAAAUGGGCAAUUCUGAUAAGGUUGUGUUUUGAGAACUUUCUUUAAUGCGUGACAAAAUGCUCGGUUCAAGUUUCCAUGAUGAUUGAGGUCAACUAAAUGGAGAAGAAAAGUACAUUCUGACUAAACAGAAGUAAAAUUAAAUUUAUAGAUAUACAUUUUAAAAUGAUGUACUUUGUAUUUCUACUCAUCAAGAAUGUUUUAAAAACUCACUUUACCAAACAUUUUGGAAUAAAAAAGAUCAAUUUAGGUUUUAAGAGAACUCAUCACAAGGCAUGAAAACUACAUAGGUUACAGUGCAUAGUAGGUAGGGAGCCCUAGACCAGGAGUGUGAAAGUACCAUCCUUGUAAGCCAUGUUGGUAUUUUUUAAGGCAGCGGUGUGGUUUAAAAAUAAUUUUGACAUGUUCACUUCUAGAUUACUACUUGAUUGAAGUUGGGGAAGCAUCACAUUACCAACUCGUUAUGUCCUGUUGCAUUAGAAAGCAAAUAGUAUCAUUUCUCAUUUUUCAUCACACAUUGCUGUUUCUGGUCCUGUGAUCUGAAAUUAUCAACUUUGAGAUUUAUCACACAAGCAAGUGCAGUUCCCACUCACUCCCUUUUUAAUUAAAAAAAACCUUUGUGAACUUCAAAAUUGCAAAAGAAAAGUCAGUUAAAGUGCAAUUUGAAAAUGUCACAAUCAAGCAUAAGCAAAGUAGGGAUCUCCUGAAGUAGCUAAAUUUCUAAUGAAUACAUAUUUUUUUUAAAAAAACAAAACCAAGGCAAGGAGUAGGUGACUGGAUUUUGGGAGACUACUGGGGCAUCACUGUUUCAUAGGGCACCACCCAUAGGAACAGCUAUUCCCCCAUGUCAUUAAAUUGAAUCAAUUUGACAGAUCCCAUCCCACAUUUUUUUUUUGGCAUUUUCAGCAGUUUGAUAGCAAUUCCAGAGCUCAGGAGAUGAAUUCUGCCCAUCUUAUUUAUUUAUUUGUAUUUAUUACAUCACUUCUACCCUGCCCUUCUCACCCAUCAGGGGACUCAGGGCGGCUUACAAUAUAAACAUACACAAAAAACCCCAGUUUUCAUCAAAUUUAAAAAUCCAUCAAGAUUAAAAAUUACAAUAAAAUUAAGAAUAUACAUUAAAAAUAUACAUAAUUAUAUAUUUAAAUCUUCUCUUCUUCCCUGUUUUUUAAUACUUUCUUAACACUUCACUAACAGACGCAAGGGGGAAGCCUCCCAGUGUCAUGUGAUGGUCUCAGUUUAGCUUCAUUUUUCAACUGUUUUCGAAGUGUUAAGAAAGGGGUGUGUGUGAGUAGGAUAACAUCCUAGGUUAAAUUGUGGAUUUCUUAGUGAAAAAACAUUUAACAGUUUAAAAGAAAAAAGAAAAAAGAACAGAAUGUAUAGGAGUUGAGUUUUCCAAGAUCCUACAGGAAGCAGAAACCGCCCCUGCCAAAGUCUAGGUGUUGCCCAUAGUUUCCUGCUUAAUCCACAAUGUUAAGAUAUUGGUUGGGAACAUUAGUUUCUUAAGAAAGGCUGCCACUGCAUGUUGAACCUUGAAGGUGAAAGUGAUAUAAUGUUUGUAUUGUCUGAUCAGAAUCUAUCAAUGGCUCUUUUCCCACUGAAGGCAUGGAGUCCCUAUCAUAUUUGACUCUUUAUGUGAGUUCAGCAGUUUCAUGAGCAUUGCAUAUUUUUUAUUACAUACAGUAGAGUCUCACUUAUCCUACAUAAAUGGGCAGGCAGAACGUUGGAUAAGCAAAUAUGUUGGAUAAUAAGGAGGGAUUAAGGAAAAGCCUUUUAAACAUCAAAUUAGGUUAUGAUUUUACAAAUUAAGCACAAAACAUAGUGUUAUACAACAAAUUCGACAGAAAAAGUAGUUCAAUACGCAGUAAUGCUAUGUAGUAAUUACAGUAUUUACAAAUUUAGCACCAAAAUAUCACAAUGUAUUGAAAGCAUUGACUACAAAAUCAUUGACUACUAUAAGGCAGACUGCGUUGGAUAAUCCAGAACGUUGGAUACAUGAAUGUUGGAUAAGUGAGACUCUACUGUAUUUAUACCUUCCACUUUCUCAUAUAAGAAAAUGGCAGGCUAUUGAUAAAAGGUAAAUAUAGAGACAGUAUUUUUGAAAAGUAUUCUCUACAUUUUUCCUCAGGGAAAUAAUAUUUUUGCUAUCUUUUAUUUGUUUUCUUUUAAAAAUUAUUAACAAAUAACAUUUCCAAUAUAGGAAAUAACGUAUGAGGUAGAGCUACAAAAAUCAAUUAGAAAUUAAACUAAAAUACUAAACUGAGCUGAAAUAUAACCAUAAUAAUAAUAAUAAUAAUAAUAAUAAUAAUAAUAAUAAUAAUAAUCCUUAUUUAUACCCUGCCACCAUCUCCCCAACGGGGACUCGGGGCGGCUUACAUGGGGCCAUGCCCAGAACAAUACAAUAUAACAAAAUAUAAUAGAACAACAAAUCAUAACACAUUAAACAACACAAUAAAAGAAAAUAUACACUACAUUAAACAAGAUCAAAAGAACAAUAAAACCAAGGGUGGGCCACAUGAACACUAGGUUAAAAUUCGGGGUGAGAAAGGAAGUAGGAGUAAAAACCACAGAGGACAGGGUCAUAAAGUGACGGUGCAAUCUGGAGGACAAUAUUGAAGGAGAGCAGCAAAAGGGAUGUAUGUAGUGAUUACUCUCCAAAAGCACAACGGAAAAGCCAUGUUUUCAGGUCUUUCUUAAAGGCUGCUAAUGUGGGGGCUUGCCUAAUCUCACCGGGAAGUGGGUUCCACAAUCGGGGGGCCACAGCAGAGAAGGCCCUCUCCCUUGUUCCCACAAAGUGGGCCUGAGAUAUCGGCAGUGGCGACAGGAGAGCCUCCCCUGACGAUCGAAGGGAUCGGGCAGGUUUAUGAUAGGAGAUACGGUCAUGAAGGUAGGUGGGUUCCAAUAGCAAUAACCAAGAAAAACUGGGAAGACAAGUGACUAACAAGUGACAAUGACUUUCCAGCUAGUAGUUAUAGGUACUAAGAUAUCUUACUUUCUCUGUAAUGAUGGUAGCUAAACUUUUACGUAUUGUUUAAUCCUGUGGUUCUUCAAAUCCUAUUACUAGUAAUUUCCCCAAUCACAAAAGCUAACCUAUAUAAAUAUUUUACUAGCCUAGUAUAUGUCAGAGGAGUCUCUCAAAGUAAUAAUAAGUUCAAUACUUUUAAGAUACUCAUACAAUUCUCUUGUUGCUAUAGUUGCUGCAGUUUAUCUAAUCCAGUGCCUUCUAUUAUUACUAAGUUUUCUUGCUAAAUAAAAAAAGAAAAAAAUCACUAGCUAACAGAGUAAUCUCUCUUAUGAUUUCAUCUUCCCAAUUUCAUAAAUCAGAUAUUAUUUCAAAAUUUCAAAAUUCCUAAAAAUCACAAAAGCCUUAUUAAUUACUCUAAAAUCACUAUUCUGUGCUUGUCUUCUGCGUAUUAUAUUUAUGUCUCUCAUAAGUUUUUCUCCCAAAUUACAAUUUUAACACUUACAGUUUUUCAGAGCUGGCAUCUUCACAAUAUCCCAUUUUUCUUUCCAUAUCCUCUAUUUAAAAACCUGCUCAUUGUCCUCAUAUUGCAUGUGUUUUCAGUUCCUCCUCUCUGAUUACACCACAAAAGGAAGCUUUGUUCUCCUUAAUAUCCCUGACUCUUCCUUCUUCCAGUUGAGUGACUUGAUUUCUGUACCAACCAUUUCUAACAGAAUGGCUUAGCAAAGUUGAAGGUCUUCCCAAUUUCAUUGUUUGUUUCAAUUUCUCCAAGAAGAACAUUGCUUUCUACUGCUGCUUCUGACUCAUUGAUCUUCCCUCUGUUCUGCAACGACCAAAAUUGUGGUCAUCUGGAUUUGUAAUUGCAUUGGCUACUUUAAUAUUGUCUCAAACUCCUUCUUUAGAUUAUCUUGGGUGCCAGUUUUCAGAUUUCUCUUCACAUCAGUGCUGCUCAUCUGAUUAAUAUACAUUCUCAAAAACUCCAGUAUUUCAAAAAUGCCUUACUUUUGAUUCAUCAGUAUGGCUGGUUGUCCCACAGGUACACUUCCACCUAUAUACAUUGUGGCAGCUGUCAAAGUACUUUCAAAAAUCAGGCAAUAGACAGAUGCUUGUUGCUGUAGUUUGUCUUCUGUUUAAUGUAUUGCUAGCAUCAAACUCAUGGUUUACCUAGCCAGAAGGUGUAAUGAAAAUCAGAUUAGGUUCACCUCCUUUUCCCACUCGGCCAGCUACAACCUUGAGCUUAUCAACAUAUAGAUAAACAAAGCUUGUUCUUUGCAAUCUUAAACAUUAAUAAUUCUUACAGUUUACUUGAGAUACAAAGUCUCCAAUGCUUCAACAUAAUCAUUAAUUUUCCAAAUUAAAUUACUUUAAAAAUGUAAUUGUGCUUUUUUCCUCAGUAAUUUACUUGCUUUUAUACUUGUAGAAGUGUUGGUACUGGAAGUGUAGGGAAGAAAGUUGAAUGAACAGUGCUAAUGCCAUCUUUAGUGGCUAAAUGCAUCUUGGUUUGAUUACUCUUCCUGCUCCCUUCUGUUCCACACUUAGUUCUGAGGACCAGGAAUGGGAAUCGGACUCUUGAGAGCAGUCCUCUAAGCCUCUUUUGCCAGGGAGACAAUUUCUGACAGCUGUAAACUUGAAAAUCUCUCGCCUCUCCCCUAGAGAAGUUGCUAAAGGAAGAGGCAACAGGACACGAUUUCAACCCAAAAGUCCCAUUGUCAUCUUCUUCAGCUCGCAUAUGAAUCACUGAAAUCAGUGAUAUUCCCAUUUUUAUUAUCUUCAAGAGGAGUCCCCACUUGUGAGAAUACUGUGUCUAUUUUCCAUCUUGGUAAAUCCUUGGAGUAAAUAAUCGAGAAGGGCCUAUUUUAAUUCCAACAUCUUUAAAAAAUACUGGUCCAUAGUAAAUAUAGCAGGGUGUUCAAUAUAUCGUGUAUCUAAUUAAAUUAAUAAGUUAUUGUUACAUCUUCCUUUCUCCAAUUAUGGUAGAACUAGGCUACAUUAGGAUUAUAGUUUUCAGAGACAUUAACUUCAUCCUUUGCAGUAAAACUACAGUGUUAUCUUUUGAUAUUUUAUGCCUUGUCACUGGCAGUUGGCUUUGUUAAAAUAUUGUUUUGGUGAUAUUUUGCUUUCAAGAAGCUACACUUUUUUCCAUUGAAACAUGGAUAUGAUACAUCCACGGAUUAAACUUUAUUUUGACAUUUUGUUGAAUGAAUUUUUAAAAAAACAAUCAAACUGAAAUACAAACACUGUCCAGAGAAGGUAAGGGUUCCAGCUUGCCAGUUCUUGAGAUUGCAUCAUCAAAAUUAUGAAAAGUCUCCAAAAUGUCCUUCAGUUUUUUAAUUUACAUAUAUUGAAAAUUCCAGGUGUUCUCAUAAAUGGCAAAGGAAACUGUCAGUUUGUACAAUAUUUUGUUCUGCCUUUUCAGUAGAUGUUUUUUUUUUUUUUUAAAAAAAGAAGAAACUUCCAAGGCUUAGAUACAACUGAAAUCUGAUUGAUUUAUUAUUUCUUUGCUGGCAGGGCAUUAUUUGCAGGGCAAAAUAAAUCGCUACCGUUGGAAAUUUGUGCUAAGACUUACAGUGAGUAGCUGUGUGAAUGUUUAUUGUUUCUCUAUGUUAUCUCCCAUAAUAGAAUCACUGCCAAGCUUUUAAAACUUUAAUGAAUUUAGCAUUAUAUCCUUCUGUUUCAGAGAAUUGUAGCAUCAACUUAACACACACAAAAAGAAUCAUGUAAAUUAUAAAUAAUAAAAUAAUUAACAUGUAUUAAAUAUUUUAUUAUUUAUAAUUUACAUGAUUCUAAAUGCAUGUGCAUUUGGUUUUUUGUUAAACUAGGCUGCACAGUCUGAUUUGCUGCUCUAAAUCCUUGAUCCACCACUAUGGCAAAAUAAAGCAAUAAUAGCAAAACCAACCAUCAUUUCACAAUUGCAUAAAACUUCCACAUUAAAAUUGUGCAUUUUCCGAAAAGACUCCAUAUCCCACUCAAGAAAAGGUGGAUGCGUAAAUUGAUUGAUCUGAUUUACACUUCACAUUAUUAAAUCAACAUCAGUUGCUUUAGUGGGGAAGCAUAGAUGUGUUAUGAUCCCACUGCUCUGCACACUGGUAAACAAAAAAAUUAUGUCUUGCACACUCUGGGAGUGAUCAAACUAAAUGUGGUCUAACAAAACAUUCUUCGCUUCCAAUUGUUAACAACUCCUUUCUUUCCAUUCCCAGCAAGAAAAAUAAGGGAAGUUUUCACAAAUGGGGCCAACCUAAGAUAUUUUUUUGCUUGAGGAAUUAUGCCCUCUUUGUUCAAGGUACACAGAACCCUUCAACUUGUACAAUGUUGAGUUUAAAGCGAUAUAUUACAUCAAAAAGUAUUAACACUAUUGUUAUUAUUUUUUUAAAUUACACUAAUAACAAUAAAUAACAAACUUUUAUUUAUACCCCACCACCAUUUCCCAUAGGGACUCGGGGCGGCUUACAAAUAACACACAAUAGUGCCACACAACAUAUAAAAUGCAGUAUAUCAACAUUAAAACCCAUAUACAUUUAAAACCAGAACAUAUAAAAUUAGCAAGAGCCAUAGAGUCAGUAAGUAUGGCAAAAUAUUGAUUAAAAGAUCCAUGCAAUCAAUUUAGCCUUCCCUGGCAAAAGAUAGUAGGCUGGCUGCUAUUGUAAAGGUUAUCAAAAGCCUGUUGAAAUACUCAAGUUUUUAGCUCUUUCCGAAAGUGCUGUAGUGUGGGGGCUUGCCCUCGUCCUCACCAAUUGCACUUGAGACGGAGGUGGGACCGAGAGGAGAGCCUCCCCAGCAGAUCUUGGAGCCCGCACCAGUUCAUAGGGUGAGAUGCGACCAUGAAGAUAGGCUGGACCUAAACCAUGUCCAUUACUAACUCCUUCCUUCCUCUCUUUUUCUUUUUUUUUUAGUUUUCUUUCUCUGUCACCCCAAUUCUGCCUUCUUGUUUUCUGUCUUAUGUGCUCCCCUUCAGCAGUAUUCCCAGUAUAGUAUUCCCAGUGAAUACUAUAAAACUUGAGUAAGCAUAUAUCAGAUUGCCACAGUGGUAGGCUUUUUAUUUAUUUAUUUAUUUAUUUAUUUAUUUAUUCAUUCAUUCAUUCAUUCAUUCAUUCAUACACAGACGCCCAAACAUUUUAAUACACCAUGCAUUAACCAAAUCUCCUUCCCCCAAAGACAUUCAUUCCUUGUUCCCUAAACUGGCUAUUUGGACCAGUGGGUUACUGCUUGGCUUCGUCAGUGGCCAGACAAAUGGUUCUCAACCUGUGGGUCCCCAGGUGUUUUGGCCUACAACUCCCAGAAAUCUCAGCCAGUUUACCAGCUGUGUAGAUUUCUGGGAGUUGAAGGCCAAAACACAUGGGGACUCACAGGUUGAGAACCACCAGGCUAGACAAAUGGGAAAGGAGUUGCUAUCACUAGCAUGUUGUCUCUACUUGUCUUCUCUUGGCAGGCUGUACCCACCAGUGUAGAAGCAAUUACUUUUUUGCAGCUAUCACUCUAGUCAUUACACAGAUGUGGCACCAUCCCAUAUUGCUGCUCUGCUAGUGGACCAGUCAGUUAGUUCUUUGGGUGACAAACAAGCUAGCAAACAUCUCAUUCAGCCCUCCCCACACCAUCUACUAGUGCUGUGGUACAAGGUGGAAAGAUAAGAUGUGUGAUUGCCAGUUUGACCAGAAAGGCAGCUGCAUAGGCAGGCCUCAUACAACAGGUGCUUCAUGAUAUAUUUCUUUGGGGGGGGGGGGGUGGAGGAAGAUGCAACAGGCUGCAGAAGCCAUGCUGUCAUGCUAUAGAAUAUUUCACCCUACUAGUAUAACAGUAGGUUUCACAGAGGGUCAAAACAACCUUGCUUAUCAGCUUCUAAACAUCAUGCUUCAGUUCAGCAGGUUAGAUACACAUUUCACAUAACUGUACAUUGUACAACGUAUGUUCAACCUACCAAAAUUUAUCUUUUAUUUUUGGGAAAUGAACAUAUGUUUUAUUGUAGAUGUAUUACCUUUUCACCUAAGUGCUACAUUUCCAGAGCACAGAUUUAAUCUUCUCCAUAACUUCUUAUAUUUGUCCUAGCAAUAGAGUGGAUGCCAAGCUCAUUUUAAAAAGCUUCAGCUGAUAUCCACAGACAGUUAUAAAAUUUAUUCCUAGUAUUUAUUAAAUUCUAGUUGAAUUUUCUAGAGGAAUAAAUUUGAAGGAGUUGUGUUUACAGCUGUACAGGGGAGCCUAAUAAAUCAAUAUAGUGAGUCAUUAAUUGUAACUCAGUGUUUUUUUCAAGUAAUUUAAAUUGUACACUGCAAUAUUGAUUAUUUAAGUUAUUCUGUCAGAAAGUGAUGUUGUUUAAGGAGUUGUUUGAAAAAUGGACUACCUGCAUAUUUUAUGUUGCAAAUUCUAAGAAACAUUAUGCUGUGCUCCCCGGGGAGGGGGGGGAUUUUACUUAGGCUUUAUAAAGAAAUAAAUGUUUAAAUAAAAGUAGUGCUCGUGAAGGAGAUUCAUUCUAAUUUAAAAACGGACAUGACUGUGUUACAAAGAAAUGAUGUGACGGUGAUGCUGAGACUGUUCUUCAAACAACAACAACAUAAAUACAGUUGAUAAGCUUCAAUCUUCCACCUGAGCUGGCAGAUAAGAAAUCACUGCAUUGGCUGUAUAUCUGAUUUACAUACCAAAUGUGGGGUGAGAAGGUGGAGUGAGAUUUGAGGAACACAUACAGUGCAGUAUCUGAAAUCUUUCUGAGCAAGCUGUCAGUGGUACUCACUCAACCUCAAAGGAAGCCAAAGGCGAGUACCCUCUGAACAAAUCCUGGGAAGAAAACCUGGGUUAGGUUCACCUUAGCCUUACCAUGACAGAAAUACAGCAAUGACACAGGAACAAAUUGUUCAUACUGGCUCGAAUGACUAUGAGAUAUUUAAGACACUUAAACCUGGGAAACGUUUCAUCUGAGUCAGACUUUUCCCGUAGCAAAAGUUUCCAUUCCUGAGCCAACAUGCUAUGGAGCUCCUAUACUGACCCCUCCUUGUCUUCUAUCACCAUCCAGAAUGGACCACUUUUCUCCCACCCACUGCACAUUUCCUCACCUUUUUUUUGUCUGUCAUCCUUACCCAAAUAUAUGGCAAUGGGAUGAAAUUUGUGAUCCUUGUUUCCAAUUAUGCAGGUCACAAUGUAUGGAUUCUACCGCAAAAUGUGACUCUGAAAUGUGUUUUUGUAGUGCUAAAGAUUUAAUGGAGUAAAUGUCAGACCUGAUCAAAUCUCAGAUGUAAGGAGGGUUACCAAAAAUGGCAGUAUCAGAAUUUGGAUUACUGCUGUAUCCUGUUGCUAUCUAAUUUUUUAAAAAUAAAAAAUACAAUAAACUAUCCAGAUGUGCUUAAUUUAAACAGAGUAUGGAAUUUAGCCUUCCUUAGCAAAGAAUUAGGAUUGUCUUUUCAAUUACAGUGUUCCCUCACUGUCCUCUCCUCGCCUCUCAAGCACGUGCAUCCGUGCUCCCGCCGCCGUCGCCGCCUUGUGAAACAAAAACAAAGCUGCUUCAGCCUCCUUUUUUCGUGAGGCACGAAAAGCGAACUGCGAAGUAGCGAGGGAACACUGUAUAUAUUGUAAGCUACUAGGGCAACGAGGUUAUCAAAGUAGCUACACUCUGCUGAAAAAACACUGUUCUCACGUGUGCUCAUGGCCAAGUGGCAAUGGUUGCUUUCAUUGCUUUUUCACAGUGUUUGCUAGGAUGUGGGUUCCAGCUCCUGUCUGAGUAUACUAACCCUUGUACUAAGCCUGUGCAUGUAUUUACUGAAUAUAUAACUUGCGGGCAACUAUAUUGCUCUCUCCAUAUUCAUUCAGAACUUUUCCCUCUCAAGAAUGGAAUCUCACCAGGUGCAUAAACAAUAGUCCUUUAAAUGAUGAUGGAAAUCAUGCUCAGCCAAACAUGCGGUUAAACUGAUAGGGAGGCCAUAUGUUUCUCUGUAGAAAUUGAAAAUAGUGUGCAAUAAACCUGAUCAUCAGUGUUAUGGUAUUUAUGUUGAUUGAGUAUAUCAAGUGUCCCUAUGUCUUGAAAAAAACUGAGUAUAUUUUGGUGAUGUAAAAGGAACUGAAGUUAAACAUUCCUGCCUUCUUUGAAAGAGAACAUGUUUACUUGAUGGACCCUGUUCUUGCUUAUUUGCAAUUCAUGGUAGGUAUAAGAAAUAUGUGCUCAUCUGUUAGAGUGGUGGAGUGAAAACAUCCCAUGACCUUGAAAGAAGGGUUCUUGGUCCCUACAAGCAUAUUGCAAGAUCAGUAGAACUGUUAUGACCCAUUAAAUAUCUUAAAGUGUGUGGGAUGCCUGCACUGACAUUGUCAUAGAUGUAAAGGUCAAGCUAAAAUGUCAGUGGAGCUGUUUCUAUGAUAUUAUUUGUGACUCAUUUUAGCAAGUAUGAGGAGCAGUAGUGGCUUUAUUAUGUAAUCUGUGUUUGUAGGAAUGAACAUCUUAAGAAUAAAGAUCAGUUUCUAUUUUUUGGUAAUGCUAUUCCUUUUAGCUUGCUAGUAUAGACUGUCAUGCUUUUUCUCUCUAUGGGCAAUGGUAGUCUUACAGUCUCAUACAGAAUCCGUGGCAGUUCUCAGAAACAGUAUCAUUUAGCUGUCAGUCAAGAUUCUGUGGACUCUGAAAUACCAAUAGGAGUAUCUGAUAAUAAGGAAUGAAGGACUCCUGUUCUGAUUUCCUGGUUCAUUGUCUAAACCGGUCCUAAAACCAUAUUCGAAAUGAAUUUGUGCAUGGCUCAUAGACAUUUCAAGUUAUAUAAAGUUAAAAAAUAAUAGGGGAUUUAUUAUAUGACAUUUGGCUCUUAUGAGAAGCACAGUGAGCAAGCUGGUAAAAUAACAAAUUGGAUUACUAAAGCUAAAGCAACAUGACGACUACAAAUGGGUAUUUCCUUCAAUGGUCAGGAGAAAGUGACAGCAGUCAGAUGCAUUGCUGUCUGUAAUCCAAUUCAGAUGAAGUCUAAGGCCAACAUUAGCAUGCAUUUUAAUAAAGGGUUUUCUCACAACUUCUUGGCAUGAGUAGGGAUCAUCAUAUGGAAAAUGUUUUGAAGGUCUGAACCAGUUUAAUGUCUUAAGGAUUCAGGAAAUGUUGUGCCUAGCAGAGAUAUCUGGAUAGGUUGUUAUAUGCCAUUCAUGCUUCAGGGGCUGAAGGUGAUGUAUAUUGUGGUAUUCCAAUUUUACUUUAAAAAUGACCUGGUACAUGACAUUUUGCUCAAGCUUGCUACUGUGACUUUCCUAAGUUUGUAUCCAACGCUAUCUACUAAAACAUACUGGGUCUUGAUGCUAAAAGAUUAUGGCUUGACUUUAGUCUAGUUCAUGCUUGUUCCAUGGCUACCAGUAUGCUCACCAGUAAGACAUGUUUAUGUGGAGCCACAGGUCUGCUUAAAGAGUGACAGGUAUGGCAACUGCAAUGUGAUGGAUGUGCUAACUUGAAGAUCAUAUUUAUCACACGGAUCAUGCUAGCCAUGUGAACUAUCUGUGUAUGUUCUCUGGCCUCAAAUUUUUUCUUGAUCUCACAUGCUUCAGGAGACCACUGACUAAUACAAAUUUCCAAAGUUGUAACUGUAUUAGUAUAGUGUAGCAGAAAUGACUUAAGAGACCUGUGGCACCUUAAAGUGUUUGAUGAAGUGGGCAACAACCCACAAAAGCUUCAACAAAUAAAUAUUAAUGAACAAGGUAUCACAGGUUUGGGCUUAAACUGGCUUAUUGUGGUUGAUAAUAUUUAAAAGUCAUUUCAUCAUUCUAUUUCAGUUUGUGUUAUAAUGAUGAUGUACAUAACCCUGCAGAUUGUAUGACUUGUGUAGGCACUUUUGAUACUGCUGCAAAAAGCAUCUCUAUGGUAUCUGCAAAAUAGUUCCCAGGCCAGUUUUUUUCCCCAACUUUCCUCCCAAUUUCGUCUGCAGAAGUGAUCUUUCUGAAGGCUGAAUGUACACAUACUGUUUGGAAAGGAUGAAAAGAAAUUACUCAUCAUUCUGAACAGGCACUCAGCUCCUAGAAUUGACAAACACUGAGUCAUCACUUUUAUCUUCCCCUGGUUAAGCAUUUGCUGCUUCACCAAGUUUUCCAAAAGAAAAUGGUGUUAAGCAAAAGAGAUUAAUCAUGACUGGACUUAAACAAAACUGUCAUUAUAAAGAUUGUUUAGAUGGGGUGGGUGGUGGUGGUGGGGUUGCAGUAUUGUCUGGAAUGCUAUUUGGGUACUUCGUUUAAACUUAAAAUUUAUAUUUAUUUGCUGCAUUUAUAUCCCACCCUUCUCAUCCCGAGGGGGGCUCAGGGUGGUUCACAAAAUACACAAAAUACACAAAGCAAAAUUAAGAACCAUACCCCACUAUCCUGAAGAAAGGACCCCCCGAUGGCACAAUGGGUUAACCCUUGUGCCAACAGAACUGCUGAUGGACAGGUCAGGGGUUUGAAUCCUGGGAGAGCAGGUGAGCUCCCUAUGUCAGCUCCAGCUUCCCAUGCAAGGACAUGGUAAAACAUCCAGGCAUCCCCUGGGCAACGUACUUGCAGACAGCCAAUUCUUUCACACCAGAAGCGACUUGCAGAUUCUCAAGUCGCUCCUGACACGAAAAAAAAUCCUGAAGAAGUGAAAGCUGCAUAUUUGGUGUUUACCUAGCAAGGAUAAUCAGCUGUAUAUAUAGUUCAAAGGCCUGACUCUUUUUAGUUUCAAAGCAGGCCACCACAAGCCAUUGUGUCUUUGUGGCACUUGCAACCUCAUCAGAUGGUCCAAAUUUGUAUGUAAAGCAGUGUUUUUCUAACUUUGGUCCUCUAGAUCACUGUUUUUAAAAUUGUAGGUCCCAACCCCAAAUUGAGGUCAGAAACAAUUUGACAACAGUAAGAGGUUUCUGAACACCACCCAUUUAAACAAAAUGCAGUGUUUACAAUGGGCUCUGCAGAAGAUGCUUCAGCUGUACUUCAUGAAAAUGGCAAUCAGUCUAUUCUGCGAGCCUGGCAAAUGCUGAUUUAUGAUAAGUAAACGUAUGACAUGUAUACUUUUUAUUUACCUAUAUACUGUGGUCAUGUAAAUAUUUCUCAGGCCAAAAAGGGUCCAGAGUGGAAGAGGUUUAAGAAGCCCUGUUCUAGAUCUAUUAUUAUUAUUAUUAUUAUUAUUAUUAUUAUUAUUAUUAUUAUUAUUAUUAUUAAUCAUCAUCAUCAUCAAGAUUUCCAUUUUGCCUUUCUGUUUAAAAAAUCUAGCACCUUCCAUUCAAAAUCACUGUACUUUAGUAAUACUGAACAGCAACAGCAGGAAACUCACUAACAUCUGAAAUAAGAGUUCCAAAACUAAAAAAAACUAAAGUAGAACAAGAACAUAAAACAGUUCAAGGACUACAUUCAGCAAAAACAUGCUGAGCUAAAUGUGCUUUCACUUCAUGUUUAAAGCAUGAAGUGAUGGGACCAAGAAGGAUUCUUUUUGGAGGAUGUUGCACAUCUUAGGCACCAUGCUUAAAAAAUACCUGAUUUUGAGCACCUUGACAGAAGGGGAGCCUAAAGUAGAUGUUAUGGUUGAGCCUCAUGGCUCUACUAUUGGGAGACGUGGGCGUAAGACUCCUCGAGAGUCAGAUACUCUCGAGGAGCGAGAAAGGAAGCGGCUGCGAGAUAUCUUUGCAGAACCAUCUGACGAGGAUUCUUUUGAGGGGUUUACUGAGAGAAUGGAGGAAGAGAUGGUUAGCUCGGAAGAGGAUGACAUGGAAUGGACUCGUGUAAGGGAGGAUUUGGGUGCCACUGGCAAUGAUAGUAUGGAAGGCGAUUGGGGACCUUCAGGAUUAGACCCGUGGACAAGCUGGAGGGAUGGGACGGGAUCCACAGCUGGGGAUGCUGUGGGGCGUAGUCAAAGGUGUUCCAGUUCUGAUGAGGAAAGUGAUGAGGAAACGCCCGGGCUAAGGAGAACAGCUGAUAGCGAUGAGGACUUGUAACUGGCAUAAAAUGGGGUUUGGGAGCAAUAGCAAAUUGCGUUGGGCAAGGUAAUCUGGACGAACGCUUGGGAUCUGUGUGGGAAGUUUUCCUGAAGACGGGUGUGAUUCGUUUGCUGACUACGUAAGUUAUCCUGGACAUUGGGCUCAGACGGCGGGAGGAAUUGUGUGGGGUUUUGUUGUGCAACCUCUGCUUAAUCUUAAUAGCUUUGACCUUCCGUCGUCUUCUUGACGGACGCCAUCUGCUUACUCUGGACUUACGGACUGACUGACUACGGCCUCGGAUUCUCCUACCUGUGUCUAUCGUUGGAACUGGUGAACUACAAACGUCUGCAUCUGCCUUACGACCUUCGGAACGGAUUGGGACUUCGCUGACUGCUUCUGCCCUCGUCUGCUGUGUUUGUAUUGGGAAAUUGCCUGCUGUGUGGAGGAGUAACCUCUAAGUUACUCAAACAUAGCUCUUGGCAGCAGAGAAGCAUCUGCUGCCAAUUAGUUGCAUUCCUUUGAACUUUUUGUUCACCAGCUUCUGUUUGUUUAUUCCCAGGCUGAAGCAAGCUGUUUUGAUUUAACCCGGAUUAAACUCCGGUUUAAUCCGGUUUAUCUUUUGAACGUUUUUCUUGUCUCUUUUUACUUUUAAGGCCAGUGUUUGCCUAGCCCUUGUCUUUUACGGGCAUUUUUGGUUCUGUAACUCCAAUAAACUUUGUUAUCUUUUAU